rnacentral:rRNA from 1 species
GAUGAACGCUGGCGGCGUGCCUAAUUCAUGCAAGUCGAGCGAACAGACGAGGAGCUUGCUCCUCUGACGUUAGCGGCGGACGGGUGAGUAACACGUGGAUAACCUACCUAUAAGACUGGGAUAACUUCGGGAAACCGGAGCUAAUACCGGAUAAUAUAUUGAACCGCAUGGUUCAAUAGUGAAAGACGGUUUUGCUGUCACUUAUAGAUGGAUCCGCGCCGCAUUAGCUAGUUGGUAAGGUAACGGCUUACCAAGGCAACGAUGCGUAGCCGACCUGAGAGGGUGAUCGGCCACACUGGAACUGAGACACGGUCCAGACUCCUACGGGAGGCAGCAGUAGGGAAUCUUCCGCAGUGGGCGAAAGCCUGACGGAGCAACGCCGCGUGAGUGAUGAAGGUCUUCGGAUCGUAAAACUCUGUUAUUAGGGAAGAACAAAUGUGUAAGUAACUAUGCACGUCUUGACGGUACCUAAUCAGAAAGCCACGGCUAACUACGUG